rnacentral:lncRNA from 1 species
CCUGGGAUAUCUAAUGUAAUAGAGUGAUUGUACCUACCCGAUGUAAUCCAACCACUGUGACCAGUCGAGAACGAUCAACACCAGGUAGGCACCCGCAUCUCUAUAAUGAUGGAAGAUCGCUGGACUUAAUAUCAAUUGAAGAGAUUUAGGUUCAGAUCUCAUCCUUAAUUAGUCAUAUUAGAUAUGACUAACCUAGUGGCAUGGGUUAGCUCGAAUC